AUUGAACGCUGGCGGCAUGCCUUACACAUGCAAGUCGAACGGUAACAGGUUAAGCUGACGAGUGGCGAACGGGUGAGUAAUGUAUCGGAACGUGCCCAGUCGUGGGGGAUAACUGCUCGAAAGAGCAGCUAAUACCGCAUACGACCUGAGGGUGAAAGCGGGGGAUCGCAAGACCUCGCGCGAUUGGAGCGGCCGAUAUCAGAUUAGGUAGUUGGUGAGGUAAAGGCUCACCAAGCCGACGAUCUGUAGCUGGUCUGAGAGGACGACCAGCCACACUGGGACUGAGACACGGCCCAGACUCCUACGGGAGGCAGCAGUGGGGAAUUUUGGACAAUGGGCGCAAGCCUGAUCCAGCCAUGCCGCGUGCGGGAAGAAGGCCUUCGCGUUGUAAACCGCUUUUGUCAGGGAAGAAAAGGUUCUGGCUAAUACCUGGGACUCAUGACGGUACCUGAAGAAUAAGCACCGGCUAACUACGUG
rnacentral:rRNA from 1 species